rnacentral:rRNA from 1 species
UACGAAGGGGGCUAGCGUUGUUCGGAGUUACUGGGCGUAAAGGGUGCGUAGGCGGGUCUUUAAGUCAGGGGUGAAAUCCUGGAGCUCAACUCCAGAACUGCCUUUGAUACUGAGGAUCUUGAGUUCGGGAGAGGUGAGUGGAACUGCGAGUGUAGAGGUGAAAUUCGUAGAUAUUCGCAAGAACACCAGUGGCGAAGGCGGCUCACUGGCCCGAUACUGACGCUGAGGCACGAAAGCGUGGGGAGCAAACAGG